rnacentral:rRNA from 1 species
AUUGAACGCUGGCGGCAUGCUUUACACAUGCAAGUCGAACGGUAACAGGUUAAGCUGACGAGUGGCGAACGGGUGAGUAAUGCAUCGGAACGUGCCCGGUCGUGGGGGAUAACGCAGCGAAAGCUGCGCUAAUACCGCAUACGAUCUGAGGAUGAAAGCGGGGGACCGUAAGGCCUCGCGCGAUCGGAGCGGCCGAUGUCAGAUUAGGUAGUUGGUGGGGUAAAGGCUCACCAAGCCGACGAUCUGUAGCUGGUCUGAGAGGACGACCAGCCACACUGGGACUGAGACACGGCCCAGACUCCUACGGGAGGCAGCAGUGGGGAAUUUUGGACAAUGGGCGAAAGCCUGAUCCAGCAAUGCCGCGUGCAGGAAGAAGGCCUUCGGGUUGUAAACUGCUUUUGUACGGAGCGAAAAGGUCUCCUCUAAUACAGGGGGCUCAUGACGGUACCGUAAGAAUAAGAACCGGCUAACUACGUGCCAGCCGCCGCAGUAA